CUGCCAUGAUGACCUUCUUAGGACACCUUUGGAUUAAUGAUGAAAACAAACUCUUAGUCUGAGCAGC
ensembl:snoRNA SNORD58 Small nucleolar RNA SNORD58